UACGUAGGGGGCAAGCGUUGUCCGGAAUUAUUGGGCGUAAAGCGCGUGUAGGCGGCUCGGUAGGUCUGCUGUGAAAGUCCAAGGCUCAACCUUGGAAAGCCGGUGGAUACUGUCGAGCUCGAGUCCGGAAGAGGCGAGUGGAAUUCCUGGUGUAGCGGUGAAAUGCGCAGAUAUCAGGAGGAACACCAAUGGCGAAGGCAGCUCGCUGGGACGGUACUGACGCUGAGACGCGAAAGCGUGGGGAGCAAACAGG
rnacentral:rRNA from 1 species